GGAGAUGUGGCUCAGUGAUAGAGCGCUGGCCUUGCAAGCAUGAGGCCCUGGGUUCGAUUCCCAGCACCA
rnacentral:tRNA from 1 species